CGCCGUUAUACCAUUUCGUGUGGGACUACGUCUAGUCAAUGCCAGCAAGCCAGUGAAUAUUGGUGAACUUCAAAUGAAUAUAAAACGUGAAAUCGCAGCAGUUUCGACCGAUUUAUGCUUGAAAACCGUCGAAAAUUAGCCAAUUGUAGGGUUCGAUAACAAAGAAAAAAUCAAAUCGUUCAGAAAAAGCAAUCGUGUUUCUUCAUCGUAUUCCACUUUAAAGUUGGAUAUUAAAUUUAGUUUAUACAAGGUAGCCAUUUAAAUAAAAUUACUUGUUCUUAUCAAUUUUAUAUACACAUUAAGCAAAUGCAUUAUUGUGUUUUUAUCAGAAAAAUAUUUCGAUAAAAAUUAACAUAUUAUAAUCUAUGUAUAUGCAUAGAUCUGUAGAAGGUGCCAUAAGUGGAAUUUUUCACGAUUAUAUCACAAUUGCAAAGAAUCAGAAAGCAGCGACAAUAGAAUAACCAUGGGCAUUCCUGAUAUCCGAAUGCUUAUUUCAGUGGAGUUUGAAGUAUUUGGCCACGUCCAAGGUAA
rnacentral:lncRNA from 1 species